rnacentral:lncRNA from 1 species
GGAGGAACCAUGGCGCCUCACACAUCCAGCAGAGCUCCAGCAACAACUGUAAACACUCCCUGUGAAGAUGGCAAAUAUUUUGAUAAUCUUUCCCCCCAACAGGAUUCUCCCUCAUUGAACAAAUGGACACAGUCGGGAGCCAUCAUCUCUCAGAAUCCACAGGAAGAAACAUGGCAUCAGGAGAGGGAUUGGAGCCUCUUGACUGUGGAGGAGGGAGAUGGAUAACUCUCAGCUGCAAAGUCCAGAGGCUGAGGCUGAGGGACAGAGUGGACCUCCAGAAUCCAUGCACUGAGCUAAGGAAGGAAGAGAGUGCUUACACCAAGUCUCUCAGCUAUGACACAAGAAGGAGAGGCACUGUUCACAAGCCCACUCUUCUGGGGCUCCCCUUAGGAAUGGAAGCCUUCCUCUUAUGAACCCCAAUGGGAGCCUCCUCUGACCUCUCCGUAUAGUUACUAUUCACCAGAUAUCCAUGUGCUAUGUGGACAAAAGACAAGCAAGGGCAAAUUUCACUUCUGCUUCUUACCAGUUAGUUACAUAGCUCUGAACAAGUCAGAAGAUAACCGAAGAACUGACCAGGGGCUCCAUCAAGACUAACAGGGCUGCUAUAUGCAGGCAUGGGCACAGGUCCGCAGUUACUUUAAUUGUGGGCAUUAUUUAUCCUGUUUGUUCCAAAUUCAGGAGCAAUGCUCCAAAUGACCUCAGGGGCUAUCCUGAAUGCAUCUAGGGAUAAGCAUGUUGGGGGAAUUGGUCAUCCCUGCAGCUCUGCCUGGGCUCAGGCCAGAGCCAAGGUAGUGAGGGUGGGCAUGCAAGUGGGAGUGGGGGCUGCCAUGGGCUAGUAGCUGUGGGAGUGGGGACCUGGCUUCACGUCCCCCCACGUGGGAGGUUGCCUGGAUCUCAGGCAGUCCUGCCUUUCUGGUUAGGGCUUCCCAACUUUUGCGGCUGUCCUCAGGGGAAAGCUAUUU